rnacentral:rRNA from 1 species
AUUGAACGCUGGCGGCAUGCUUUACACAUGCAAGUCGGACGAGUGGCGAACGGGUGAGUAACAUAUCGGAACGUACCGAGUAAAGGGGGAUAACUAAUCGAAAGAUUAGCUAAUACCGCAUAUUAUUCGAGCGGCCGAUAUCUGAUUAGCUGGUUGGUGGGGUAAAGGCCUACCAAGGCGACGAUUAGUAGCGGGUCCGAGAGGCUGAUCCGCCACACUGGGAAUGAGACACGGCCCAGACUCCUACGGGGAGCAGCAAUGGGGAAUUUUGGACAAUUGGCGGAAGCCUGAUCCAGCCAUGCCGCGUGUCUGAAGAAGGCCUUCGGGUUGUAAAGGACUUUUGUCAGGGGAGCGGUACCUGAAGAAUAAGCACCGGCUAACUACGGGCCAGCAGCCGCGGUAAUUAC